rnacentral:rRNA from 1 species
UACGUAGGGUGCGAGCGUUGUCCGGAAUUAUUGGGCGUAAAGAGCUCGUAGGCGGUUUGUCGCGUCUGCUGUGAAAUCCCGAGGCUCAACCUCGGGCCUGCAGUGGGUACGGGCAGACUGGAGUGCGGUAGGGGAGAAUGGAAUUCCUGGUGUAGCGGUGGAAUGCGCAGAUAUCAGGAGGAACACCGGUGGCGAAGGCGGAUCUCUGGGCCUUGCCUGACGCUGAGGCGCGAAAGCGUGGGUAGCAAACAGG